AGUGAACGCUGGCGGUAUGCCUAACACAUGCAAGUCGAACGGCAGCACAGGAGAGCUUGCUCUCGGGGUGGCGAGUGGCGGACGGGUGAGGAAUACAUCGGAAUCUGCCCAGUCGGGGGGGAUAACGUAGGGAAACUUACACUAAUACCGCAUACGACCUUCGGGUGAAAGGGGGGGGUCGCAAGACCUCGGGCGAUGGGAUGAGCCGAUGUCGGAUUAGAUAGUUUGCGGGGUAAUGGCCCACCAGGGCGACGAUCCGUAGCUGGUCUGAGAGGGUGAUAAGCCACACUGGAACGGAGACACGGUCCAGACUACUGAGGGAGGCAGCAGUGGGGAAUAUUGGACAAUGGGCGCAAGUCUGAUCCAGCGAUAGCGAGUCGGUGACGACGGCCUUCGGGUUGUAAAGCCCUUUUGUUGGGAAAGAAAUCUUUCAGGCUAAUACCAUGGGAGGAUGACGGUAACCAAAGAAUAAGCACCGGCUAACUUCGUG
rnacentral:rRNA from 1 species